UACGUAGGGGGCAAGCGUUGUCCGGAAUCAUUGGGCGUAAAGCGCGUGUAGGCGGCCCGGUAAGUCCGCUGUGAAAGUCGGGGGCUCAACCCUCGAAUGCCGGUGGAUACUGUCGGGCUAGAGUGCGGAAGAGGCGAGUGGAAUUCCUGGUGUAGCGGUGAAAUGCGCAGAUAUCAGGAGGAACACCAAUUGCGAAGGCAGCUCGCUGGGACGUGACUGACGCUGAGACGCGAAAGCGUGGGGAGCGAACAGG
rnacentral:rRNA from 1 species